UGAGUAACCUGCCCUUAACUCUGGGAUAAGCCUGGGAAACUGGGUCUAAUACCGGAUAUGACUCCUCAUCGCAUGGUGGGGGGUGGAAAGCUUUAUUGUGGUUUUGGAUGGACUCGCGGCCUAUCAGCUUGUUGGUGAGGUAAUGGCUUACCAAGGCGACGACGGGUAGCUGGCCUGAGAGGGUGACCGGCCACACUGGGACUGAGACACGGCCCAGACUCCGUACGGGAGCAG
rnacentral:rRNA from 1 species